rnacentral:rRNA from 1 species
CACGUAGGGCGCAAGCGUUGUCCGGAAUUAUUGGGCGUAAAGAGCUCGUAGGCGGACUGUUGCGUCCGCUGUGAAAAGCUGGGGCUUAACCCUGGCCUUGCAGUGGAUACGGGCAGACUAGAGGUAGGUAGGGGAGAAUGGAAUUCCUGGUGUAGCGGUGAAAUGCGCAGAUAUCAGGAGGAACACCGGUGGCGAAGGCGGUGGUCUGGGCCGGUACUGACGCUGAGGAGCGAAAGCGUGGGGAGCGAACAGG